ensembl:lncRNA
AUGGAAACGAAAAUGGUCUCAAAGAACUACUUGUAUUUAAAAAUUGAUGAUAUGGAAAAAUGUUUUUAUAUUUUAAAAAAUUUAUAUUUGUUUGUUAUGUCAGGUACGAUUAAGUAUACCCGUGCAAUAUAUGAAGAUAUGUUUGAUAUGUUGUUAAGUAUAGUAGAGUUGCACGUACAUUCUGAUUUUGAUGCAACUGCAUAUGCUAAUACUACUGUCGAAACAGAGGCCAACAAUACCAACAAUACCAACAAUACCAACAAUACCAACAAUACNNNNNNNNNNAACAAUACCAACAAUACCAACAAUACCAACAAUACUAACAGUACCAAUAAUGUAAAGGUACGGACACGUUAUGGACUAAUUUUAAAAAAAAUGCUAUGUCUAACAUUACAUUUUAUUAAUAACAUAUAUGUAAUAAUAUUUAAUAAUAACGAAGAAGGAGAAAAUAACUAUGUUACGAGAAAAAACAGAUUCUAUGAACUGGUAGAAAAAUUGUUUUACAACUAUGUAAUUAAAUUGAAAAAAAAUGCAAAGGUUUUACUUAGGUUAAAUGAAAACAGAAUUAAAUUACGUAAACAAAAAAUAUAUAAAAAUAUGUAUAGCCAAAAAAGCAAAAAAGAAUUAAAACAAUAUCUUAUCCAUUUAAAUAUAAUAAGUGAAUUAUUUGAAUUAGUAAUAAAAGGAGUGUACCUAAAUGAAAAAGAAAUAAACAGAAUUAUUAUUAAUAUAUGUUAUGAUAAUAGUUUAUGUAGUAUAUUCUAUCACAUCGAUUACUAUAAUUUAAAUAGUUUGAUAAAUAAAUAUUUACAUUUGUAUAAAAAAAAAAAAGAUAAUAUUAAAAAAAUAAAUAAAAUUUUAAAAUUCAAUAGAAAUGUAUCAAACGAAAGGAAUAUAUACAUAAAUGACAACACGUUAAUAAAUAACAUGUUACAUAUAUUAACAGUACAAGAAAUUAAAUAUGAAUAUGUUUUAAAUGUAGAUACGGGUACACAAAAUUAUAAUACUGCUAUUAGGAAGAAUAAACAUAUAAGUGGUGUAAGUGGUGUAAGUGGUGUAAGUGGUGUAAGUGGUGUAAGUGGUGUAAGCGGUGUAAACGGUGUAAGUGGUGUAAGUGGUGUAAGCGGUGUAAACGGUGUAAACGGUGUAAACGGUGUACGCGAUGUACUAACAGAAAGUAUAUUCGAUGAACGUGACAAUGCAUUUAUACUUAAAAAUUUAAUUCAAAAAAAAAUAAAUCUAUUAGACAACGAUACAGAUGAUUAUGUUAGUAAUAAAUUGUUUGAAAAUAAAGGAAAAAAUUAUGGAACUGAAAACUUUUUGUUUGAUAUUAAAAAUUAUAAGAACUGUACAAGAGGACUUACAUAUACAUAUAUGUUCCCUUUUGACAAUACAUCAUAUAAUGGAAUAAAUUCAAAAAAUAAUGACAUUAUCAGUUAUGCUUAUAAUGCCAGUGUAUCUACUUACAACAAUGACAACCUCCUUUACAAUAAAUACAUAAGUGUUAUUCACAGUAAUAAUAAUAAUACUGAUAAUAAAAAAUAUAUUUUAAACGAUUUAAUACAAGAUGAUGGGUUAAUGUGGAAAAAUAAAAAUGUAUUCUCAUACAUAAAUCAGGAUGAUAUUAAAAACCAGAAAGAGUAUCGUUUAUUAAAAAAAAAAAUUAAUUCAACCAUUGCAAAUAAUCAGGCUAAUAUAUAUGGUUUUAAAAAAAAAGAAAAUAUUAUUCAAGGUAAUACGAUGGAUUAUUCAUCUAACUUUUUAGGAAAUAAUAAUAAUAAUAAUAAUAAUACUACAUCCGUUACUCAUAGUAGUACUUAUAAUCCACUAAUAAAUACAAAUCCUAAUCAGGGUAUACAUAAUUUUACAAAUAUUGACAAUGUCAAAACUGGAGAAAAUAGGAGUUCGACUUUUACAGUAGCACCAGUAGUACCAUCACUACCUUUAACAUGUUGCUGUAACAAUUCGGAUAUUUAUUAUUCCAAAAUAGAGAAUGAAAAACGAGAAGAAAUGAUAAAAAAAGUAAGAAAAAAAGAAAAAACAGAAAACGCCAGUUAUAAUUAUAAUUGUAACAUUUAUACUGAUUAUAACAACCAUUCAAGUUAUGAUUGUUUUGGUAAUUACUUUGGUGAGGAUAAUUUUGAAAAUUUGUUUUUUCAAAAAUAUUUUAAAAACGAGAUAGAAUGUAUGAAAUAUAUAAAUUUAACAUUAAGUGUUAAUGAUAGCAAAAUAAGAUUACUUUUAGUUUUAUACAAACUUAUAAUUAUAUUGAAAUAUAAAAAAAUAUUAUCCAAUGAAAUAUAUAAAAAAGAAGAACAAACAUUUUUAAAAUUAAAUAAUAUAAAAAAAAAAAACACCUUUUCUUUUUUUUAUACACGAAUCUAUGGUUACUCUUAUGACAACACCCAAACAAAUAAAAAAAAAUUCACUUUAUUAUAUUAUUAUUGUUACAAUUUUGAUUAA